UACGGAGGGGGCUAGCGUUAUUCGGAAUUACUGGGCGUAAAGCGCACGUAGGCGGAUUGCUAAGUCAGGGGUGAAAUCCUGGAGCUCAACUCCAGAACUGCCUUUGAUACUGGCGACCUUGAGUCCGGGAGAGGUGAGUGGAACUGCGAGUGUAGAGGUGAAAUUCGUAGAUAUUCGCAAGAACACCAGUGGCGAAGGCGGCUCACUGGCCCGGUACUGACGCUGAGGUGCGAAAGCGUGGGGAGCAAACAGG
rnacentral:rRNA from 1 species